AACUUGGCAGAGAUGCCUUGGUGCCUUCGGGAACGCUGAGACAGGUGCUGCAUGGCUGUCGUCAGCUCGUGUUGUGAAAUGUUGGGUUAAGUCCCGCAACGAGCGCAACCCUUAUCCUUUGUUGCCAGCGAUUCGGUCGGGAACUCAAAGGAGACUGCCGGUGAUAAACCGGAGGAAGGUGGGGAUGACGUCAAGUCAUCAUGGCCCUUACGAGUAGGGCUACACACGUGCUACAAUGGCGCAUACAAAGAGAAGCGACCUCGCGAGAGCAAGCGGACCUCAUAAAGUGCGUCGUAGUCCGGAUCGGAGUCUGCAACUCGACUCCGUGAAGUCGGAAUCGCUAGUAAUCGUGGAUCAGAAUGCCACGGUGAAUACGUUCCCGGGCCUUGUACACACCGCCCGUCACACCAUGGGAGUGGGUUGCAAAAGAAGUAGGUAGCUUAACCUUCGGGAGGGCGCUUACCACUUUGUGAUUCAUGACUGGGGUGAAGUCGUAACAAGGUAGGCGUAGCGAG
rnacentral:rRNA from 1 species